rnacentral:rRNA from 1 species
AUGAAGCUGGAAUUGCUAGUAAUGGCAGGUCAGCAUACUGCCGUGAAUACGUUCCCGGGCCUUGUACACACCGCCCGUCACACCAUGAGAGUUGGGAAUACCCGAAGCCUGUGAGCUAACAUUAAGAGGCAGCAGUCGAAGGUAGAAUCAAUGAUUGGGGUGAAGUCGUAACAAGGUACC